rnacentral:rRNA from 1 species
CAGUCGCCGCGGGAAUACGUAGGGUGCAAGCGUUGUCCGGAAUUAUUGGGCGUAAAGAGCUCGUAGGCGGUUUGUCGCGUCUGCUGUGAAACCCCGAGGCUCAACCUCGGGCUUGCAGUGGGUACGGGCAGACUAGAGUGCGGUAGGGGAGAUUGGAAUUCCUGGUGUAGCGGUGGAAUGCGCAGAUAUCAGGAGGAACACCGAUGGCGAAGGCAGAUCUCUGGGCCGUAACUGACGCUGAGGAGCGAAAGCGUGGGGAGCGAACAGGAUUAGAUACCCCUGUAGUCCCUGUCUCUUAUAC